GAGYCCCUUCUUUWUCUUUUGAUCUUUCCAUAAAUGCUCUGGUGUAAGUUUAACGUUAAAAUAUUUAAGGUUUUCUUGUGAGGUUAAUAAAGUGGACUCAUAAACGUUAAAUGCCAAUAGUUUGUCUAAAGUGGCUUAAGCCUACAUUUUUGGAGAAGUUCUGCUUCUUGUUACUAGUUCUAGCAUUAUAUCUUCCAUAUUCUUAUGGAGUUACUCAAUAUUAAUAAUGGGUUGUAUGUUAAUAAGGUUAUUUUAUAAGAAUAAAAGUAAAGCUUUAACGCUUUUUUAAAGGUGGCUGCUUUUAGGCCCACUUAAUAAUUUUUCUUGAUAAAUUACCCAAUAUAGGAGGUUGUACCCUUUUUCAAAUAAGCUGUGCCUUAUUUGAAUGGCUCUUAAGUUUAGUUGGAGUUUACGGAGACUAAAAAACUUGAGGUAGAACUAAAAUUCUUUUCUUGAGCAACCAGCUAUCUCUUGGUGCGGUAGGUUUAUCGCCACUACUUGGAAAUUUUCCCACUCUUUUGCAACAGAGAUGGGUUGGUUCUUAUAACUAUUUCGAAGUAGCUCACCUAGUUUCGGGGGGUUAAACUAAAAAUCAUUUUGCUCAGUCAGACUGACUAGACCAUGAUGCAAAAGGGUCGAG
rnacentral:rRNA from 1 species